UUUGAAUGUUUAGUCAGAAUCUAUUUUCUUGUAACUUGAAGUCAUUGGUUCAAGUCCUACCUCCAGAGCAGGAGGAAACAAGGUUGCUCCAUCCUCCAUGUGACAGCCCUUAAGAUAUUUGAAGAUGGCUAUCAUAUCUCCUCUCAGUCUCCUCUUUUCCAGGCUAAACAUACCCAGCUCCUUCAAGCA